AGGGAACAUAUAUACUGGGGGGAAUGAUGAGGAUGAGAACCAGGUGCGCUAAACAAGACACAGGUGAAAUGCAUAAUGAGAUGCGGUGGUGUCAGAAGGCCGGUGACGUCGAACGCUGGAGCCUGUCUGCUGCAGGGGGAGCCUACUGUUAUAGAUGAAAGGGAAGAUGGAGUUCAGCUGUGGAAUCGAAAGACGGUUGAGAGUGCAGAAAACGAGUAAUGGAGAUGGAAGCCAGGCAAACUGCACAUAAAUUCAUCUUUGUGGAUGAAGCUGGAUUUAACCUGGCAAAAACACGCCACAGGGGAAGAAAUGUGAUUGGUCAGAGAGCCACUGUGGAUGUCCAAGGCCAGAAAGCAGCUAUAACAUCACAAUGUGUGCAGCACUGUCCAAUGAUGGUUUGCUGUUACACAAACCGCUCAUUGGCCCCUACAAUACAGAGAGGCUAGUGAUUGUACUAUACAUGUUGAUGUUUGUUAUUAUUGCAGCCCUGAAAUUUCAGGAAUUUGUGGUGUUUGAACUUUUUAUUUUUCAAAAGUGUAAUUUACUAUAUGCAAAAAUAGUAUAGGAUAUUCCUUCAAAUUGCUGCAUUUCUGAUUCAUUCUUGUUCCAUAUACUUUAAUACAGUCAAUAGUAUUGUGUUAUUAUACUUAGUCAUGCAUCUUAUUCUAUAACAAAAUAUUGAUUUAUGUGAAAUAUAAUGUGACAAACUUACAAGGUAAGAGUUCAUCUUUUCUGUGAUGCUCCCUGUGGUUAGUAUUUUUUAGGUCAGUGUGUGUUUCUGAGUGACAAUAUUUGCCAAUGUAGUUUAUUUUGAGACAUGUAUGAUGUGUUUUGUUGGUUUUACUGAGUUUUGGAAUGAGAUUAACUAUUUGGCCAAGAUGCAUGUUGGAAAUGCAGACUGAAAUGCAAAGAAAUGCAUUACCACAAAUGCAGAAGUUUUGCAAAAGGCGUUUCAGUAUUGACCGAUGCUUGUUAGCAAUCAUGAAUAAAUGUAAAUUGC
ensembl:lncRNA